rnacentral:rRNA from 1 species
CACGGGGGGAGCAAGCGUUGUUCGGAAUCACUGGGCGUAAAGGGCGUGUAGGCGGUCAAGUAAGUGGAAUGUGAAAGCCCCCGGCUCACCCGGGGAUCUGCAUCCCAAACUGCUUGGCUUGAGUACGGGAGAGGAUAGGGGAAUUCCUGGUGUAGCGGUGAAAUUCGUAGAUAUUCGGAAGAACACCAGUGGCGAAGGCGACUUACUGGACGACUGUUGACACUGAGGUGCGAAAGCGUGGGGAGCAAACAGG